AGCAUGUUGUCCAGGCGCAUCAGCUGGGGAUCCGGGGGCUCCUCCUCCUGGGCGCCGCGGAUACUCAGCACUGCAAUGACAGCAGGAGGUCAAAGACAGGACCGGCAGGCUGAUUUGGACCACAGAGCAGUCAGUGGUAAUGUCGGCUGAUCAACAACAACAAUCUGGAUGGAUCCCUCUGCUUUCCACUAGAGGUCUCCCUUGCCAUUCUUUAAAAGGUUCAAGUCCCACCUUCC